rnacentral:rRNA from 1 species
AGAGUUUGAUCAUGGCUCAGGAUGAACGCUAGCGGCAGGCCUAAUACAUGCAAGUCGAACGGGCUGGAGUAGCAAUACUCUAGUUAGUGGCGCACGGGUGCGUAACGCGUAUGCAACCUACCUUUUAUUUGGGGAUAGCCCGAAGAAAUUCGGAUUAAUACCGCAUAACACUGUUUGAGGGCAUCUGAAGACAGUUAAAGCUACGGCGAUAAAAGAUGGGCAUGCGUGUCAUUAGCUAGUUGGUGAGGUAACGGCUCACCAAGGCGACGAUGACUAGGGGUUCUGAGAGGAUGAUCCCCCACACUGGUACUGAGACACGGCCCAGACUCCUACGGGAGGCAGCAGUGAGGAAUUUUCCGCAAUGGGCGAAAGCCUGACGGAGCAAUACCGCGUGAGGGAGGAAGGUUCUUGGAUUGUAAACCUCUUUUCUCAGAGAAGAAUAAUGACGGUAUCUGAGGAAUAAGCAUCGGCUAACUCCGUGCCAGCAGCCGCGGUAAUACGGAGGAUGCAAGCGUUAUCCGGAAUGAUUGGGCGUAAAGGGUCUGUAGGUGGUUGUUCAAGUCUGUUGUUAAAGCGUCUGGCUUAACCAGAUAAAGGCGGUGGAAACUGAACGACUAGAGUGCGGUAGGGGUAGAGGGAAUUCCCAGUGUAGCGGUGAAAUGCGUAGAUCUUGGGAAGAACACCUGUGGCGAAAGCGCUCUACUGGACCGCGACUGACACUGAUGGACGAAAGCUAGGGGAGCGAAUGGGAUUAGAUACCCCCGUAGUCC